rnacentral:rRNA from 1 species
UACGUAGGGGGGCAAGCGUUGUCCGGAAUCAUUGGGCGUAAAGAGCGUGUAGGCGGCCCGGUAAGUCCGCUGUGAAAGUCCAGGCUCAACCCUGGGAUGCCGGUGGAUACUGUCGGGCUCGAGUCCGGAAGGAGGAGUGUGGAAUUCCUGGUGGUAGCGGUGAAAUGCGCAGAUAUCAGGAGGAACACCAAUGGCGAAGGCAGCACUCUGGGACGUGACUGACGCUGAGACGCGAAAGCGUGGGGAGCAAACAGG